rnacentral:rRNA from 1 species
UACGAAGGGUGCAAGCGUUACUCGGAAUUACUGGGCGUAAAGCGUGCGUAGGUGGUUCGUUAAGUCUGAUGUGAAAGCCCCGGGCUCAACCUGGGAAUGGCAUUGGAAACUGGCGACCUAGAGUGCGGUAGAGGGUAGUGGAAUUCCCGGUGUAGCAGUGAAAUGCGUAGAGAUCGGGAGGAACAUCCGUGGCGAAGGCGACUACCUGGACCAGCACUGACACUGAGGCACGAAAGCGUGGGGAGCAAACAGG